rnacentral:lncRNA from 1 species
CUGCCACAGUGCGCUAGGUGGGAUUCCUCUCGGGGAAGAGGAGGGAAGGGAAAAGGAGAAACCGGCGCGCACUUUCCCUUCCAAUGAUCCCAAUCUCGCCGCGCACUGGAAAAGCCUCUUCUCCCCCCAGACCCCGCCAGGCAAGACCGGGUACGGUAAUUUGGGCUUUCCGCAGGGCACUGGGGAAGCACUCUGCGGGCGGCCCCGCUCAGCCCCCGCGCUUCCCUGCGCUGCCCCGGAGGCUGCGGGAGCCGCGGUGCCCCCGCCUCCGCUCCGCGCUCCGGAGGAUGGAUGCUCCGGGGAUGGAUGCUCCGGGGGAUGCGGCGGAGCGGGCGUUUGGCGCAUCGCUGCCCGGAGGGGAUGGGAUGGGACCGGGUGGGCUGGGCUGGGGGUCACUCACCUCGCUGCAAGGUGACCCGCGGCGCGGUGCUCCCGGAGGGGCGGCUCAGCGCCCCGGCGCUCCGCCCGGCAGCAUCCCCGCGGCGGGGGCGGCGGCGGGCACCGGGCCCGGGGGAUGCACAGCGCCCGCCGAGAAGGGGCUGCGCCGCCUGCACCGCCUCGGCGGCACUGUGCGCUCGGCAGGAGGAGGAGGAAAAGGAGGAGGGAGGGAGGGAGAGGGAGAGAGAGGCAGGAGGAGGGAGAGAGGCAGGAGGAGAAGGAGCUCUGCGCGGCAGCGCGGCCAACUUUCCUUCUGCAGCGCAGCAGGAACAGCCUCCCGUCCCUCGGUGUGUAACCCCCGCCCCGGCGCAAUGCCGAGCGCACUGGGCUGCAUCCCACGGCAUCGAGGGGUGUUCCCCGCUCUCCUAACAAUCCUGCGCGACAGGGGUGCUUUCCUCCACAACUGAUGGAGAUGCAGGAAAGCUGCUGUGCAGACAGAAGCACAAAGAGGAACAAAAAGAAAUAUUUGAAAAGAGCAAAGGUGGGGAGGAAGAAAGUUCACCUCCCUGAGUCUGAUGGAUGUUGGAGCAGGGCAGCCCAUGAUGGCUUGUGAGCCUCCAUGGUCCUUCAGUUUCUGCCUGUGAGGAGCUAGGGAUUUGGGAGCCAUCAAGGCAGGAUGUCAAAAAGCAAAUGCCACCUGGAAGCAGAAAUGAGCAGAGAUGUACAAACAGCUUUUCUUACAGAAUGGAGGUUUGUAGGAGGCAGAGAAGGGAGGAGACUUUGCAGGCAUAUAUCACUGUAGCUUCAGGGAAAUCAGAAUGACCACGAGUCACGCUGAGCAGGGCUGUUACAGGAUGAGUGCUGACCCAACAAUUGGCCACUGCCUGCAGUGGCAGCACCCUAAGGAACAGCACACAGUCCUGAUCUUUGGUGCCCUGGGUGCUCUGCACCACAGCCUGGGAGAGUCCUUGGAGACAGAGCUGCUCUGAAAGCCCCAGGCCAAACUAGGUGGAACCAGCCCAGAGUGAGAGCAGGAGACAGCCCUGGUCUGGGAGCCACACACCCAGUGCUGCAGGAACAGCUCUGUGGAGGCCAGCAUUCCAGGAUUUCAGAGAACCAUUAACUGCUGCACCCACUGAUGUGCCAAAAUGGGACAGUCAUGUUUCACUGUGAUCCUCAGCUGCCCAAAGCCAGAAUCUGGGAUGACAGGAUGCAUGCUCGGGACACCAGGAGUGAGAAAGAGGAAAGGCAGAGCCUUGCAAGUGUGUUGGUGGUCUGUAGGAAGAGCAGCAGCACCACCUAUCACCGGAGAGGGAAGGAGAGAGGACACACCAGGUGCUGCUCCUCCUGCCUGUCCUCAGUACAAGACUGGAGCCCAGAUUUUUAGGAUCACCACAGAGAAACUUCCUUUUUCUAGCAGAGGAACCCGGCUUAAAUCUUUCACUGCACUCCUGCUAAAUCUUCCUGUGGGGCACAGCUAACAGAAGGAGAUGGAGGGGAUGGAAAGGUGAAGGCUUUGGAGAAGGGCUGAGAGCUGGAAUUUACAGAAUAAAAAUAAUGACCUUUAGGUCUACA